rnacentral:rRNA from 1 species
GGGCUUUACGUCUCCGUUGGUGACCAGCGGAGGGAUCAUUACCGAGUUUACAACUCCCAAACCCCUGUGAACAUACCUUAUGUUGCCUCGGCGGAUCAGCCCGCGCCCCGUAAAAAGGGACGGCCCGCCGCAGGAACCCUAAACUCUGUUUUUAGUGGAACUUCUGAGUAUAAAAAACAAAUAAAUCAAAACUUUCAACAACGGAUCUCUUGGUUCUGGCAUCGAUGAAGAACGCAGCAAAAUGCGAUAAGUAAUGUGAAUUGCAGAAUUCAGUGAAUCAUCGAAUCUUUGAACGCACAUUGCGCCCGCCAGUAUUCUGGCGGGCAUGCCUGUUCGAGCGUCAUUUCAACCCUCAAGCCCAGCUUGGUGUUGGGAGCUGCAGUCCUGCUGCACUCCCCAAAUACAUUGGCGGUCACGUCGAGCUUCCAUAGCGUAGUAAUUUACACAUCGUUACUGGUAAUCGUCGCGGCCACGCCGUUAAACCCCAACUUCUGAAUGUUGACCUCGGAUCAGGUAGGAAUACCCGCUGAACUUAAGCAUAUCAAUAAGCGGAGGAA